GUUUAGAUUACAAAGACUUGUUUUGUGGCACAACAGUUACUAGAUGUAGGUUCCUUAUCGCUUGUGUUGUGUUCUUUUGUUUAAAAGAGUAUAUUUGAAAAAAUAUGAACAGUAAAUGUUAACUAUCAAAACUAUUACAGACAAGAAGCAGAAGAAGAAAGAGCAGAGGAUUAUUCAUUAUCUCAUUACUUAGAGAGGAGCCAUAAAUUGUGGGAUUCCCCACUGGACCACGAACAGGAAUGUUUGGACCAAGAAAGAAAAAGAAAUGAAACCUCAGCAACUCCAGCCUAUUUGUAUCUGCUGAAGAGGUCCCAAACAAGGUUGAAGAACACCAGCUAGUUCAGCUUUGCAAACAUGUACAGUAUAACCC
rnacentral:lncRNA from 1 species